rnacentral:rRNA from 1 species
CAUGUGGCUUAAUUUGACUCAACGCGGGGAAUCUUACCGGGUCCGGACACACUGAGGAUUGACAGACAAUUGUCUUUUUGUCAAAUUUAAAGACAAAAGAUAACAGAUCUUUCAUGAUUAUGUGAUGGGUGGUGCAUGGCCGUUCUUAGUUCGUGGAGUGAUCUGUCUGCUUAAUUGCGUUUCAAAUAUAUUUUAUUAUAUAACGAGUCUACAAAGGAGUGGUUCAUUAACAGACAAUCAUAUCUUUGAGCGUCUGGAAUCUACUCUAUUUGGCUCAAUUGAACGCAACGGACGUGAUCGCGAGUCCUUGUUGAACUUCAGUAUAUAUUGACUUUCCCCGUAGGAAGGGAUUGGCAAUAAUUGAAUGUUCGCUUUCUAUAGGUGUGUAUGAUUAAUCUCAAAAUUACAUGUAUUUGUAGUGGCGAGUAUAAUUUACUAUCCUAUAGGAAAACUCGGGCGACCGCUGUAAUAUUUCUCUUUAAAACAGAGGAAGAUUGCGGCAAUAACAGGUCUGUGAUGC